UACGUAGGGUGCAAAGCGUUAAUCGGAAUUACUGGGCGUAAAGCGUACGCAGGCGGCUAUGUAAGACAGGUGUGAAAUCCCCGGGCCUAACCUGGGAACUGCAUUUGUGACUGCAUAGCUAGAGUCCGUCAGAGGGGGGUGGAAUUCCACGUGUAGCAGUGAAAUGCGUAGAGAUGUGGAGGAACACCGAUGGCGAAGGCAGCCCCCCUGGGAUGAGACUGACGCUCAUGUACGAAAGCGUGGGGAGCAAACAGG
rnacentral:rRNA from 1 species